AUGUAUCCCUUAAGUGUUUCACUAGUGGUACUCUGGCUUCAACUGAGGGGAGUGAACACCCAGCAGAAGGUGCAACAGAACCCAGAAUCCCUCAGUGUCUCAGAGGGAGCCAUGACCUCUCUCAACUGUACUUUCAGUGAUCGUAAUUUUCAGUACUUCUGGUGGUACAGACAGCAUCCAAGGAAAGGCCCCACGAUGCUGAUGUCCAUCUCCUCCAAUGGUGAAAAGAAAGAAGGCAGAUUCACAGUUCAGCUCAACAAAGACAGCCUGCAUGUUUCCCUGCACAUCAGAGACUCCCAGCCCGGUGACUCAGCUGUCUACCUCUGUGCAGGAUCUGGUCUGUUGGACCUGGGGUUUGAGGACUGGAAAGAAUGGGUUGGACUGCAGUCUAAUGAUGAAGACUUCCUUACUUCAGUUUCAUUUUACUUUUAUACAAAAACAUAG